rnacentral:lncRNA from 1 species
GAACGGCGAGGGGAGCCCUCCUCUAUCGCUUGCGGCCGACGUUUUGUAACCAUCUCGUUGUCGACUUUAGCAGUUUCCACGUGAACCUCAGGCAACCCUCGUCCUGUGAUCUAAAUGUUACAUCGGUAACUUGCGACUGGGCAUAAUAAAACACGUUCGUUCGAUUUUAUUCUGCAUACGCGAUGUGUCCGCGUUCUCAUCCCGCUCUUUGCCGUUCACAUAAAAUAUAUUCAUAAAUGUAAUGUGCGGUUUCGUUGGACGUUCCACGCUCCGAGGCAAGGCAGAGGGUACGAUCGAAACGAGUACCUCACAAUAACACAACGACGCACGCGUGAAACUAAUUACCCGCCGUGUAAUUUCGUCUCCCUCCGUUCUCUCGCACCUACGACCCAACACGCUAAUUCUUUCAAGCGCCACGUCGUAGCGCAGUUAAACCAACGAGUGUACGAACGCCAGUGAUCACGAUUAAGGUGCUUCCCAUUAAGCCGGCGUUAACUACCUGCCGGCCCAAUUUGCGCGAGUCCGCUUUCGGGCGCUCGCUUCAAACGCGAACUCGCGCGCGCUCCGCUCGCCAUCGGCCGCGCUCGGUGGCGUAAUAGCGCCACAUGCAUAAUUAAUCGCCGUGCGCUGAUACGUCGACGGGCGCGUUAUAAAUAGGGAUAGCAUGUGGUUAAUUCAUCGUGUCGGGCGCGAUCGCGAGCGAUUGCGAUUUUAUUGCGCGACGUUACACGGCGCUUUAUCGCGCCGCAGAUUAUCGUCCGCGGCCGUUUAACCGAACUGUUAACUCACUACCUCUCAGGUGGGAUCGCGAAGAUUGAAAAUAAACAGACGGCUAUUACGCCUCCGCGUAAUGAUUUAUAGCCCAACUUUCGCUCGUGUUUCGCCGGGAUUAUCGACGCGUUAAUUUUCCGGUAAUUAAUAUUAUCUUAAUUGCUCCACGUGCUCCGGCUGUUAUCCGGCGAAAUGACGGAGACGUACGCAUUGUAGUGAAUAUUGACACGUUUUUUUAUUGUCAUAACAUAUUUCUUUUCUGAUCUUGGUUUCCUUGCGAGAAGAUUGAAGAAGGAAGCUAUAGGCGAAGGCUCGACUCGAAGUCAGAAGAUACUACUUCUCUUGAAGGCUCUUCUCUUGAAGACACCACUCCUAGUGGCGCCAUCUCUUCAGGAAGUGGAGAACCAGACUCUCCUGAAUAUGAGGAUCAGUUAGAAACGACGAAGCAAGAGUUGCCUCUGACUGCUUACAGGGUGUCUCAUAAAUCAAGUAUUAGAAGCGAUCGCGUGUGAAACGUUUUGCACUCGACUCUCAUCCUGGUUAAUUUAGCUGAACUAAAUCAUUUUAAAAGGGGCAAGAAGUCAAUUCGACUGAUUCGAAUUGACUCAUGAUUCUCUAAUGGAAGGAGAAAGAGGAAAAAAAUCAAACAUUGAAUUACACAAAAUUCCAUAUCAUAUAUCAAAAGAAGCCAGAUAUUAUAUCUGCAAAAUUAAUAAAUAUAUAACUAAUUUAGUUAAAUAUGUAUUGUAUAAAAUUACCGUGUGUAUAUUGUAAAAUAUUAUAAAUAAAAUAUAAUAUAUAUAAUAGAUGUAUUUUACGAUCCUCAACACUGAAGACACAUUGGUGGAAAGAUCUUUUGUCUAAUCGUCAAUUUUUAUGGGAUCCGAUAUCCACCGAAGAGGACCAAUGGCCGGUUGGAGCCCGUGGAAGGAGCCAAUCGCACUACAGGAACGCACGGUAUCCAGGAUCCGGUAAAAAGCAUCAAACGAAGCCGCUGGCGUUCACGGAAAGCGCCGGCCCUGCUGCACCCUCUCUCGAGCGUGUCCACGUCGCGUCCUUACUGCAGCAUCGACCGCAUUUUUUUCGUCGACAUCGAUCGUCCCGUGCGCCAUUCACCGCGAAAAAAAUUGUUCGAGGAAGGGAAAGUUACUGAGGAUACAUGUCCUCGUGAUCGUAGACGCGCUGCGCGCUGGAGAUGCAUUGUCCUUUUACAGGCAAGAGAUUUCUUUUUAGUUGCAACGAAACAUGCGCGAGUAGGUGGACGGUGCGGGAGGAACAGCCAUCGAUUAGCCGAACGACGGCGACCUUGUCGUGUCGCAGAUACGUCGAGCGAGAAACGCGAAGGGCGAGAUGGGCCCACGUGUGAAAAAGCCGCGAGAUCAUUUAUGUAUGUAUGUCACGCGGGAUGAAAAACGAGGCUUCGCGUCGGAUCGAUGGAUCCGCAUCCGGAACUCCUCGACGAUACGUCCGAUAUACAUCGUUCUUUUUUUUCUGCUGCAAAGCGUUUUUACUCGCAUUACGCUAUGCACUCGCGCGUCUCCUCCGAGGCGCUUUUCCGUCGGAUCGAUCAUCCGCCACGCUCGGCGGCAGAGGAGCGAACGGCACGUUGGUCGCUCGAUGAAUUUCAUUUAUCUUCCUGUUUUUCGUCGUAGACGCGCGAUUCCGGGAUACGCCGCGGUUUUACAAGCCGCACUCGCGAUUAUUAUGUAAGAAUGCGCGGCUCGCGUUCUUCUUGUCGCAUCGGCUGCAUUCUUCCCGUCGCGCGCAACCGCCUCGCGCGAUUUGCCCGAUAAAGAUCGCCGAGAUGAAGACGAGUAAUACGAUUACUGGGGAAGGUUAAUGCAUCUUCCCCACGACGCAUUACAAGAAUCCUCUUUUUACUUGUCCGCGCGUCUUGCCACCGCAUGUAACUAACGACGCGAUAUACAGUAGUACCGGCAGGAAAAAUCGGCAUAAAUAUCGCUACGAUGUUCGAAUUGCUAUUAACUUUCUUCGUGCGGAAAAUAUUCGCAGUUUUUAGAUCUAUUACUGAUAAUGAGCUUCACGCUUAAAUAGAUAUAUGAAACAGGCUAAGAAAUCGCUUUAUAUCGACCUAACACGAAAUGUAGGUAACGUUAAUAGUAAGUACGAUUCAAAUUAUUAAUAAUUUUGAGUAUUGUAUAUUUAGAUUGAAAUGUUAUGUACGGAAUAACUUGUGUGUUGGAUUUUGGAAGGUCGGAAGACUUAGAUUCAUAUCCGUUCGCAGCGGACUGUCAUUACAGGAGAACAAGUCAGGUCAUCUUUAAUGCUAGGGUUGCUCGGGCUGGUUCGAUUUCAAAAUUCCCAACAAAGAGGGAACAAAGAACAGUUGCGACGAACAUUAACGCACCGCUGAUGACAGAAAGCAGGUGGAGCAUAGUGUGGGACAAAAUUUGGAGCCACAAAUUGCUGCAACGAUGAGCAAGCGGAACCUUCACAGACAUUGGUAGCAUAUUUGACUGAGAAAUAAUAUAUCCAAAUAAGUAGGAUAGUUAUUUAGCAUAUAAAUAAAAUAUAUUGCAAAAUAUGAAAUGUCAUAACAAUAAAAUAGACAAAGAUGCAUUCUAGAAUAUUUAUAUAUAUUUAAAGAUGAAUCAUACAUGUGUGCACGUGUGAAUCAGAAAUUUUGUUCUUACUGCAUGUAAUAGAAACAGGAUUUUCAUAAAGUCUUGAGAGCUGUAAUCAAAUUGAAAUUUAAGUCAACAAUAUUUACGCAUUGAAUGCGCUAAUACUUGAUUCGCACUAAACGCAAAUUACGAGUCAUGCACAAUUAACAAUUCACAAGGAGCAAUCAUCGACCGGCAUGCAGCGGCGCGCUGAGUAUGAUAUCGACCGAAAUGCCGUGCGUUAACGCGGGAAUUAAAUGCACGACGUUUUUCGUUAAAUGACGAAGGUAAACAGCGAAAUUAUAUGGCGAUUUAAGUCAGGGUUACAGCAUGUGAAAGAUAGAGAAAGAGGAAAAGACAUUUAACGAUAACAUGCGGUUAGGUAUCAGUAAAUAGCGAAAUGAUUGUUAGCAUAUUAACGUUAAGCAGAACAUUAGACGUAUUAUAACAGUUGUUCGGGAGUAAUGGCCGCUAAUAUGUGAACUAUUAAUGCCAUUGACCUAUCUCUUAAAUAUCACACAACGGUGCAACAGCAAUUAUCAAAUCCGGUAUUAAACGCUUGGCAUGCACCACUGAUUACGUCGGCCGUCGUAACAUAUUUAAGUAGCGCGUUGUAAAGAUAAAUAAUAGGAAUAACGAGCCGUUAAACUCGUCUUUUUUUACUGGUCUCACGGAACUAACGCGUGUCGCAGCUAUUAAUGCCACACGAGAUGUAAUCGAUGCCGUUUAACGCACUUAUACAUAUGUAAGAGAGCCGGAGAGCUUGGCGCUUCAUUGUAAACUCAACGAAAAUGUUUUGCAGGAUAAUAGCCCGCCAAACUUACAACGCCAAUAAUGCACGCGAAAUCGAGCCUAUUUACUUAGCGUUGCUCACAUGAUCGUGCGUAAUACCAGUAGACCUGUCCUUGUUGCUAAUUUUAUACCGAAUUAGCCAUAAAUGCGAGCAUUUUCGCCCUAUCGGUGACCAUGUGCAUAUUUAUACGUCGAAUGUCCGACGCUCUCGUGUAUAUCAACCUUCUCAUUUACCAUCUAUGCUUUUUUUUAUAUCUGCGUCUUGCGCAUGUUAACUUAAAUUAAUUUUCUAAUAAACUAAUUUUCUGGAUCGCUUGUGCAAGCUAAAAUCUAAUUAAGUAAAUAGGGUAAAAAAAUAAAAAUUUUGCUGAGGGAAUACCUUCAAAAUUGUACGCGAUAAGCAAAUUACACGCAUCCCCGAAGUGCAUUUUAGAAUUAAUCGAUGGUAUGUAUUGUACAGCGUCAUAGGUGAAAAAUAGCACACUGAUAACGUCGCAAUAUGGCCUGCCGUAUCUUGUCACGCGCUAUCGACCGCAUAAACAACCGAUGCACUUGGCUCGAUUAAUAAUGGUUUGUUUUAGUAAUAUCAGCGCAACAUAUAUACGUUGGCAUUAUUGAACUAUAAUAUUAUAACUAUAAUACAAUGAUCGUUACUUUGGAAUGUACAAUUAGAAUGAUAAUGUAUGAUACUUUUUAUGAAGCUUUUAUUGGCUUAUAUGGCUCUUAUGUAAUAUUGUUCGAAGUAAUUUUGACAUUCAAUGCCGUAUACUUUCAACAGUGACACAAUGUUGCGGGCGUUUUGUAAUUACUCGCAAACUCAUAAUUGGUGCAUAGCGAUAAGAUACGUUGCAUGCACAUCGAAUAUGCACGAUAGAUUAGGAAACUGGAACAUUCACGAUGACCAUUAAGUUAAUUAUCGGGCGUUGUCUUGUCUAUUGCUGACUUGACGAUGAGACCACGCAAUUAGAUAGGUACUAUUAUCGCUUCGUAAUGUAAAAUGCGUGAUGCCUGGAGUACCCAAUAGAGUUUUCAACAAUGGCGUUUCGAUCCGCAAGCGGUCAGAUAACGAGGUCUCGUUACCGGCGCUACAUCGUGCCCGAUUUCUCGGCAUCCUCAAGGAUCAUCUGCGGCGGCCUCAGCGGAUCAUUAGGAGUCUUCCGGUUCCGCGGCGGGUCGGCAUAAGCAGGACAAAACAUCAUAAACCAUAUUAAGCAACGGCCAUAAAAACUCUCUCCCUGCCGAGCCCGUAUACGCACCGCUUGAUUUCAAAUCCUUGGAAGGCCUCGCCAUCCACCUUGAUCCGAACGAUGUGUGUCGUAUAUAUUUAUUGAGAGACAGUAAACCGCAAUUAUGACCACCAUAACCGACUAACUAACCAUCGCGCCGUCGUCGUCGCGGAUCACCAACUUUUUUCCAGUCUUCUCGCUCUUCUCGCCUGUCCCGUUUUUUUCUCACCUUCAUCUCGUUUUCUCCUGACAUGAUCGAAAGGUAAAAGAAAUCUGCAAGAGGAUGGCAUUUUACGGACAGUAGAACAUUGCAACCAGUUUGAGAAUCCUAAUGAAUUCAGUCGAUAACACUCGGGUUAGCUAAGAGAAGAAAUUUAUGAAAGAUUCUUAAAAAUUAUCAUGUGAUAAAAUAAAAGAUUAUUUAUUAUG